UCUCCCGUGAGGGAGCAGUCUCGCCUGACUAAAAUUAACAGGCAACGGGGGUUGCGUUCGUUACCCCACUGAAGGGAACAGUUCAAACCACGAACUGACGACGACCAUGCAUCACCUGUCCAGCACCCUCGAAGGCUUCCCUCUUUUCAGAAGGCGUGCAGCUGGAUUUCUAACCUUGGUAAGGUUCUUCGCUUGCCGACGAAUUGAGCCACAUUAUCCACCGCUUGUGCGAGUCCCCGUCUAUUCCUUUGAGUUUUAAGCUUGCGCUCGUACUACCCAGGCGGCUCGCUUACCGCGUUAGCUUAGUCUCGCAGAGGGUCGAUACUCCGCGAAACGAGCGAGCAGCGUUUAGGGCCAGGACUAC
rnacentral:misc_RNA from 1 species